rnacentral:rRNA from 1 species
GACGAACGCUGGCGGCGUGCUUAACACAUGCAAGUCGAACGGAAAGGCCCCCAUCUUGGUGGGGGUGCUCGAGUGGCGAACGGGUGAGUAACACGUGGGUGAUCUGCCCUGUACUUCGGGAUAAGCUUGGGAAACUGGGUCUAAUACCGGAUAGGACCAUGGUUUAGUGUCUCAUGGUGGAAAGAUUAUUGUUUUGGUGCAGGAUGAGCUCGCGGCCUAUCAGCUUGUUGGUGGGGUAAUGGCCUACCAAGGCGUCGACGGGUAGCCGGCCUGAGAGGGUGGACGGCCACAUUGGGACUGAGAUUCGGCCCAGACUCCUACGGGAGGCAGCAGUGGGGAAUAUUGCACAAUGGGCGCACGCCUGAUGCAGCGACGCCGCGUGGGGGAUGACGGCCUUCGGGUUGUAAACUCCUUUCGUUAGGGACGAAGCCGCACUUUUUUUGGGUGUGGUGACGGUACCUUUGUUAAGAAGCACCGGCUAACUACGUG